GACGAACGCUGGCGGCGUGCUUAACACAUGCAAGUCAAGGGGGCCCAGCAAUGGGCAACCGGCGAACGGGUGCGUAACACGUGAGCAACCUACCGAACUGUGGGGGAUAGCCGGCCUAACGGCCGAGUAAUACCGCAUACGCUCUCAGUGAGGCAUUUCAUUGAGAAGGAAACCUACGGGACAGAUCGAGGGGCUCGCGGCCUAUCAGCUAGUUGGCGAGGUAACGGCNCACCAAGGCAACGACGGGUAGCUGGUCUGAGAGGAUGGCCAGCCACAUUGGGACUGAGAUACGGCCAGACUCCUACGGGAGGCGGCAGUGGGGAAUCUUGCGCAAUGGCCUAACGGCUGACGCAGCGACGCCGCGUGUGGGAUGAAGC
rnacentral:rRNA from 1 species